rnacentral:rRNA from 1 species
GAUGAAGGGAGCUUGCUCCUGGAUUCAGCGGCGGACGGGUGAGUAAUGCCUAGGAAUCUGCCUGGUAGUGGGGGAUAACGUCCGGAAACGGGCGCUAAUACCGCAUACGUCCUGAGGGAGAAAGUGGGGGAUCUUCGGACCUCACGCUAUCAGAUGAGCCUAGGUCGGAUUAGCUAGUUGGUGGGGUAAAGGCCUACCAAGGCGACGAUCCGUAACUGGUCUGAGAGGAUGAUCAGUCACACUGGAACUGAGACACGGUCCAGACUCCUACGGGAGGCAGCAGUGGGGAAUAUUGGACAAUGGGCGAAAGCCUGAUCCAGCCAUGCCGCGUGUGUGAAGAAGGUCUUCGGAUUGUAAAGCACUUUAAGUUGGGAGGAAGGGCAGUAAGUUAAUACCUUGCUGUUUUGACGUUACCAACAGAAUAAGCACCGGCUAACUUCGUGCCAGCAGCCGCGGUAAUACGAAGGGUGCAAGCGUUAAUCGGAAUUACUGGGCGUAAAGCGCGCGUAGGUGGUUCAGCAAGUUGGAUGUGAAAUCCCCGGGCUCAACCUGGGAACUGCAUCCAAAACUACUGAGCUAGAGUACGGUAGAGGGUGGUGGAAUUUCCUGUGUAGCGGUGAAAUGCGUAGAUAUAGGAAGGAACACCAGUGGCGAAGGCGACCACCUGGACUGAUACUGACACUGAGGUGCGAAAGCGUGGG